CGACCCUUAAGCCCCCCGGGCUUAGCGUUGGGAUUCCGCGCCUUCCGGGGCGCGGUUCCCUAAAGCCAUCGGCGGCGCCGCGGCUCCACUUCUGAGCGUAGUAAUCUACAGUUCCUCGCCCCUGAAGUGGCCGCGGCCGCCUGCCGCAAAACCCCACCAACUCUCAGU
rnacentral:misc_RNA from 1 species